CUAUAUAUACCCUGUAGAUCCGAAUUUGUGUGAAAGAAUUUAUUCGCAAAUUCGAGUCUUGGGGAGUAUGUAGU
rnacentral:pre_miRNA from 1 species